UAAAAUAAAAUAUAUUAUUUUAAAUUAGAUUCUUACAUAAAAUAUUAUAUUAUAAAUUACUAUAUGAAAUAAUUUUAUAAAUAAUUUUAUAUAAAAUAUACUAAUAUAAAUUAAUUAUUUUAUUUUUAAAAAUAUAUUUAGACGUUGUUCUAGACUUUUUAUCCAAACGCUAUUAAGGAUAUCCUCUAGAAUAUCCUCGAAUGCAUCCAAACAUAAAUUCACAAUUGUUCUAUCUUAUACCGAAAUAUCCCCUGUUCUCGGGAACAACAAAAGUUGUUCUCCAAAAUUUAGUUCUCAGUUUUACUGAAUUUUUGCCGAAUCCAAAUUAACUCACCAAACGUGCAAUCUACCCUUUUUAUUUGUGAGGGAAAUAGACUGUUGUUGUUCAUUGAGCUUAAUUACAGAAAUUACGGCUUAGUUUGGUAUUACAAAGAAAUUGUAUUUAUAUGCAAUGAAAAAGUGAAAAAGCUGAAUGAAAAAAUAUUUUUGUUUCCAUACGUAAUAUUAUAGAAUACUAAAGUUAUACUAAAGUGAUUAUGAAAUAUUUUUUUUGUAGUUCCACAAAAAGAGAAA
rnacentral:lncRNA from 1 species